UGUAGUUGCUCUUGUAAACACUCUUGUAAUAGACAAAUGCAAAACAGUUUCAAGCAGUUUAUUUCAGUAUGAAUCCACAAAGGACCAGAGGAUUGGAAACCUG